AUUGAACGCUGGCGGCAGGCCUAACACAUGCAAGUCGGACGGUAGCACAGAGGAGCUUGCUCCUCGGGUGACGAGUGGCGGAUGGGUGAGUAAUGUCUGGGAAACUGCCCGAUGGAGGGGGAUAACUACUGGAAACGGUAGCUAAUACCGCAUAACGUCGCAAGACCAAAGUGGGGGACCUUCGGGCCUCACACCAUCGGAUGUGCCCAGAUGGGAUUAGCUGGUAGGCGCGGUAACGGCCCACCUAGGCGACGCUCCCUAGCUGGUCUGAGAGGAUGACCAGCCACACUGGAACUGAGACACGGUCCAGACUCCGACGGGAGGCAGCAGUGGGGAAUAUUGCACAAUGGGCGCAAGCCUGAUGCAGCCAUGCCGCGUGUAUGAAGAAGGCCUUCGGGUUGUAAAGUACUUUCAGCGGGGAGGAAGGUGCUGAGGUUAAUAAGCUCAGCAAUUGACGUUACCCGCAGAAGAAGCACCGGCUAACUCCGUGCCAGCCGCCGCGGUAA
rnacentral:rRNA from 1 species